rnacentral:rRNA from 1 species
UACGUAGGGUGCAAGCGUUGUCCGUAAUUAUUGGGCGUAAAGAGCUCGUAGGCGGUUUGUUGCGUCGGCUGUGAAAUCCCGAGGCUCAACCUCGGGUCUGCAGUCGAUACGAGCAAACUAGAGUGUUGCAGGGGAGACUGGAAUUCCUGGUGUAGCGGUGAAAUGCGCAGAUAUCAGGAGGAACACCGGUGGCGAAGGCGGGUCUCUGGGCAACAACUGACGCUGAGGAGCGAAAGCGUGGGGAGCGAACAGG